rnacentral:rRNA from 1 species
AUUGAACGCUGGCGGCAGGCCUAACACAUGCAAGUCGAACGAGUGGCGGACGGGUGAGUAAUGUCUGGGAAACUGUCUGCUGGAGGGGGAUAACUCCUGGAAACGGUAGCUAAUAUCGCAUACCCUCAGAGAUGCCCAGAUGGGGUUAGCUAGUAGGUGGGGUAACGGCUCACCAAGGCGACGAUCCCUAGCUGGUCUGAGAGGAUGACCAGCCACACUGGAACUGAGACACGGUCCAGACUCCUACGGGAGGCAGCAGUGGGGAAUAUUGCACAAUGGGCGCAAGCCUGAUGCAGCCAUGCCGCGUGUAUGAAGAAGGCCUUCGGGUUGUAAAGUACUUUCAGCGGGGAGGCGUUACCCGCAGAAGAAGCACCGGCUAACUCCGUGCCAGCAGCCGCGGUAAUAC